GAGGAAAAGAAACCAACAGGGAUUGCCUCAGUAACGGCGAGUGAAGCGGCAAGAGCUCAAAUUUGAAAUCUAGUACCUUCGGUGCUCGAGUUGUAAUUUGAAGGUAGUUUUCUGGUGCUGGCCCUUGUCUAUGUUCCUUGGAACAGGACGUCAUAGAGGGUGAGAAUCCCGUCUGAUGGGGUGUCCAGUGCUUUGUAGAUUUCUACCGAAGAGUCGAGUUGUUUGGGAAUGCAGCUCUAAGUGGGUGGUAAAUUCCAUCUAAAGCUAAAUAUUGGCGAGAGACCGAUAGCGAACAAGUACAGUGAUGGAAAGAUGAAAAGAACUUUGAAAAGAGAGUGAAAAAGUACGUGAAAUUGUUGAAAGGGAAGGGUAUUGGAUCAGACUUGGUGUUUUGUGAUUAUCUUCCCUUCUUGGGUUGUGCACUCGCAUUUCACUGGGCCAGCAUCGAUUCGGAUGGUAAGAUAAUGGCUUGAGAACGUGGCACUCUUCGGGGUGUGUUAUAGCUCUUGUUGAUGUUGCCUAUCUGGAUCGAGGACUGCGGCUUUUGCCUAGGAUGCUGGCGUAAUGAUUCAAUACCGCCCGU
rnacentral:rRNA from 1 species